AUAAUACUCCCUCUGUCCCAAAAUUCUUGUUUUACAUUUGUCUAGAUACAGAUGUACCUAAUACUAAAAUGUGACUUCAUACGUUUGUAUUUGGAUAAAUCUAAGACAAGAAUUUUAGGACGGAGGGGUACCAA
rfam:Triticum aestivum genome assembly, contig: Triticum_aestivum_CS42_TGACv1_scaffold_129778_2BL